ACGGCGGAGGCAGCGGUGGCGGCCGAAGCCGGAACAGCUUGCCCGUGGCCCAGCAGCCGGCGUCCCACGGUGCUCGGGGUCCCGGUCGGCUCUUGCUCCUUCCGGGAGGCAGCAUGGCCCGCGGCCUUAGCCCCGACGAGUACGACCACCUGCUGCGGAGUCCCAACGUCCGAAACGUCACUACGCAGCUAGGACAGACCAUGUACCUGCACUGCGUCGUCGACUCGGCUUCGGACCGAAUGAAGGCGCACCGACAAAUAGUGUCGUGGAUCCGACUGCGUGACUUUCAUCUGCUGACCGUGGGCCUGACGCGUUACACGUCGGACGAGCGGUUCCAGACGGUGCACAUGCAGUUCUCCAACAACUGGGCGCUGCAAAUACGCGACGCACAGCUCAGGGACGCCGGCCUUUACGAGUGCUUGGUCAACUCGGACCCGCCCCUUCGGCAGGUCGUCUCGCUGCGCGUCGUCGUGCCCAAGGCGCACAUCCUAGGCGGACCGGACUUGCACGUCGAGGCCGGCUCGGCGCUGAACCUGACGUGCAGCAUAAGCGAGAGUCCCGAAGCUCCGGCGUUCGUGUUCUGGUACCACCAGUCACGCCUGAUCAACUUCGAGCGCGGCGGCCGCGUGAGCGUCGCCAAGGGCCCCAACGGCACGGCCGUGUCGCGCCUCCUGCUGCCAGCCGUGGACGCCGCGGACUCGGGCAACUACACCUGCAAGCCGGCCAACGCCAACGCCACCUGGGUGCUCGUGCACGUGCUCGAGAGCCACCGGCGGCUGGCCGCCGUGCAGAACGACGCCGGCGGCAUGGCGCUCACGGCGGCCGCAACACCGCACUGCGCGGCGGCCUGCUCCCUGCUGCCGCUGCUCGUGUCGCUGCUGGUGCAGUGGCUGCUGGCCUGCGCCCACCACUGCGGUUCCAGGUGACCAGCAGCUGUGGACACGCGCACUCUGUAAAUAACGUGGGUCGCGGCAAAUCAUGCCCGGUUCCCGGUCAUCAACAGAUUCCAGUCCUUCUAGGAGACUGGAACCAAGGAUGAUUCUCCCCAGUCGAACCUGAAGCCAGGAGAGGAGGAUGAGUACCAAUAACAGUCACUGAACGGGUGGAAACCACUUGUGCGGACCAUGCAACGGUCAGCACCAAGUGCUUCUUGUGUUACCCGUGUCACUGGAAACGGACAUUGCGGUCACCGAGGCCGGCACCAUUGCAGCGGCGGCAGCAACGCUCCAUACCGAUGAAACCAUCGAGGAACGCUCUACAGAUGCUGCCGUUGUUAGCCGACUCCCGUCUCUCCGCCGGUGCGAUCUACCGACAAGCAUGGCCGCACUCUUCUCUUCAACCCCCUCGUUUGUGUGUGUGCGUGCGCGUGCGUUGUUUUACUUCGUUUCACGUUGUUCUCAUUUCGUUCGUAAGUAAGUGCGUACGCUUGUGUCCACGGGUGUUGUGAACGCGCACAAUCUUUCAGGCGCCAGCGCUUUUGCUUCCCGGUGACUCGGCCACCAUCGACCAUGUGGAACAGACGCCGGAACACCGGUAGAACUGCCGCUGGCUUCGAUCGUCGCGAGUUCGCCGGAGAGACGCAAGACGCACGUCGAGCACGGAGAGACUCCGCUGAACGUCCUCGCUUUGUACAUAUGUAGAGAUGACGACGAAUGUUUCUUGUUGCUGCCGCUCUCGAUCGCUCUGUUCUCGUGGGCUUAUUAUGUGUUUUGUUGACAGCUGCAAGUGAGAGCUGAUGUCCGCAGGAAGUAAUAGAGCGUAAGUUGUGCAGUCUAA
rnacentral:misc_RNA from 1 species